AGCAGUCGCCACGGUAAUACAUAGGGUGCGAGCGUUAAUCGGAUUUACUGGGCGUAAAGCGUGCGUAGGCGGCUUCUUAAGUCGGAUGUGAAAUCCCUGAGCUUAACUUAGGAAUUGCAUUCGAUACUGGGAAGCUAGAGUAUGGGAGAGGAUGGUAGAAUUCCAGGUGUAGCGGUGAAAUGCGUAGAGAUCUGGAGGAAUACCGAUGGCGAAGGCAGCCAUCUGGCCUAAUACUGACGCUGAGGUACGAAAGCAUGGGGAGCAAACAGGAUUAGAGACCCCCGUAGUCCCUGUCUCUUAUAC
rnacentral:rRNA from 1 species